rnacentral:rRNA from 1 species
CCUACGGGUGGCAGCAGUGGGGAAUAUUGGGCAAUGGGCGCAAGCCUGACCCAGCAACGCCGCGUGAAGGAUGAAGGUUUUCGGAUUGUAAACUUCUGUCGCGAGGGAUGAAGAAUGACGGUACCUCGUAAGAAAGCCCCGGCUAACUACGUGCCAGCAGCCGCGGUAAUACGUAGGGGGCAAGCGUUGUCCGGAAUUACUGGGUGUAAAGGGAGCGUAGACGGUAAUGCAAGUCUGGAGUGAAAGGCGGGGGCCCACCCCCCGGACUGCUCUGGAAACUGUGUAACUGGAGUGCAGGAGAGGCAGGCGGAAUUCCUAGUGUAGCGGUGAAAUGCGUAGAUAUUAGGAGGAACACCAGUGGCGAAGGCGGCCUGCUGGACUGUAACUGACGUUGAGGCUCGAAAGCGUGGGGAGCAAACAGGAUUAGAUACCCUUGUAGUC